UGGCGGACGGGUGAGUAAUGUCCGGGAAACUGCCUGAUGGAGGGGGAUAACUACUGGAAACGGUAGCUAAUACCGCAUAACGUCGCAAGACCAAAGAGGGGACCUUCGGGCCUCUUGCCAUCGGAUGUGCCCAGAUGGGAUUAGCUAGUAGGUGGGGUAAUGGCUCACCUAGGCGACGAUCCCUAGCUGGUCUGAGAGGAUGACCAGCCACACUGGAACUGAGACACGGUCCAG
rnacentral:rRNA from 1 species